CGUCCUUUUCCCGGUCCCAAGCCUGGGACAUGUCACAGAGAGCCGUCUCCAGGGCAGUCCUAAAAUGCUCGUUCCAAUCGUGAAUGAGAAGAGACAUUCGAAUCACUUUUUUCCCAUGUCGAAUAACCUAUAACCACAACAAAACAAGAUGUUCACAUGACGCCUGGGAGCCACUCCUUGGAAAUGAAACAGAAACCCUCUUAAGAGAACUGAAACAAG
rnacentral:lncRNA from 1 species